CCUACGGGCGGCAGCAGUGAGGAAUAUUGGUCAAUGGACGAGAGUCUGAACCAGCCAAGUAGCGUGAAGGAUGACUGCCCUAUGGGUUGUAAACUUCUUUUAUAUGGGAAUAAAACGUUCCACGUGUGGGAUUUUGUAUGUACCAUAUGAAUAAGGAUCGGCUAACUCCGUGCCAGCAGCCGCGGUAAUACGGAGGAUCCGAGCGUUAUCCGGAUUUAUUGGGUUUAAAGGGAGCGUAGGUGGAUUGUUAAGUCAGUUGUGAAAGUUUGCGGAUCAACCGUAAAAUUGCAGUUGAAACUGGCAGUCUUGAGUACAGUAGAGGUGGGCGGAAUUCGUGGUGUAGCGGUGAAAUGCUUAGAUAUCACGAAGAACUCCGAUUGCGAAGGCAGUUCACUGGACUGCAACUGACACUGAGGCUCGAAAGUGUGGGUAUCAAACAGGAUUAGAUACCCCAGUAGUC
rnacentral:rRNA from 1 species